rnacentral:rRNA from 1 species
UGGGGAAUUUUGGACAAUGGGCGCAAGCCUGAUCCAGCAAUGCCGCGUGCAGGAUGAAGGCCUUCGGGUUGUAAACUGCUUUUGUACGGAGCGAAAAGGCUUCUUCUAAUACAGGAGGCUCAUGACGGUACCGUAAGAAUAAGCACCGGCUAACUACGUGCCAGCAGCCGCGGUAAUACGUAGGGUGCAAGCGUUAAUCGGAAUUACUGGGCGUAAAGCGUGCGCAGGCGGUUAUGUAAGACAGACGUGAAAUCCCCGGGCUCAACCUGGGAACUGCGUUUGUGACUGCAUAGCUAGAGUACGGUAGAGGGGGGUGGAAUUCCGCGUGUAGCAGUGAAAUGCGUAGAUAUGCGGAGGAACACCGAUGGCGAAGGCAGCCCCCUGGACCUGUACUGACGCUCAUGCACGAAAGCAUGGGGAGCAAACAGG